AACGGAGGGCACAAGCGUUGUCCGGAAUCACUGGGUGUAAAGCGCAUGUAGGCGGCUGAGUAAGUCGGAGGUGAAAUCCACGGGCCUAACCCGUGAACUGCCUCGGAAACUGCUCAGCUCGAGGGCCAGAGGGGAAAGUGGAAUUUCGGGUGUAGCGGUGAAAUGCGUAGAUAUCCGAGAGAACACCGAUGGCGAAGGCAGCUUUCUGGCUGGUUCCUGACGCUGAGAUGCGAAAGCUAGGGGAGCGAACGGG
rnacentral:misc_RNA from 1 species